UGGUUCAGUGGUAGAAUUCUCACCUCCCACGUGGGAGACCUGGGUUUGAUUCCCAG
rnacentral:tRNA from 1 species